UACGUAGGGGGGCAAGCGUUGUCCGGAUUUAUUGGGCGUAAAGAGCGUGUAGGCGGCUAGAUAGGUCCGUUGUGAAAACUCGAGGCUCAACCUCGAGACGUCGAUGGAAACCAUCUGGCUAGAGUCCGGAAGAGGAGAGUGGAAUUCCUGGUGGUAGCGGUGAAAUGCGCAGAGUAUCAGGAAGAACACCCGUGGCGAAGGCGGCUCUCUGGUACGUGACUGACGCUGAGACGCGAAAGCGUGGGGAGCAAACAGG
rnacentral:rRNA from 1 species